GGAGACCAGACGUUGGUGAAAGCGUCUGGUCUCCUUGGGAUCCAUUCUGAGACCAGAGGUGGCAGAGGCUUCCCUGGCUUCUGGAGACGAUCUGUGCCUGGAGGAUCAGGACUCUUCUCUUUUCCCCAAUGGCACAGAAACACAUCCACUCUAGGAUUCACUCCACAGGGCACAAGUUGCAAGUACUGUGGUCAGAGAAGAGCCUGGAGUCAUCUCCCCUACCUCCCCUCCGACAUGCCAAAAGCCAUAGCAAAACCAAAAUGAAGACUCUGAGCAGAAUGCAGCCAGCAGUGCAGUCCCAGAGCUCUGGAGAGAUGGCAAACCAAGCAAAGAAUCCGCGAGGGCCACGGAGGAGGGAGCAAGCGCACCAUGGGAAGAUGCAGGCCAAGCUCCGGCUGAUGCGGUCGAUGCUUCGAAAUCAGCGGACCUCACUCCAGGAGCUCUACAGCCACGAGAGCUUCCUCAGCAAGCUCAACCAGGAGCUGAUCAAGUCCAUCCAGGACAUGGAGGACAGCACGGCCCUGAACGUGCGCGCAAUGCUGCAGCAGCAGGGCAUUCUCUGGAAUGUCAUCGACAUCUUGGAGUACUCAAACAAGAAGCGUGUGGAGCAGCUGAGGUCUGAGCUCCAGGAGUGGAAGGAAAAGGAGGAGAACAAAAUGAACAGCCUGAAGCGGGAGGUUGAACAGCUGCAUGCUGAGAUCCUAAAGGCCCGUGAGGAGGUGAGUUUCCUGAGCACCUACAUGGACCACGAGUAUCCCGUCAGGUCAGUCCAGAUCGCCAAUCACAUACGCCAGGUGCAGCAGGCAAAGGACAGACAGCAGGACGAGCUGGACAACCUUAAGGAGAUGCGUGACAUGGUCCUGGGGGGUUUCUCUGACAUGAUUCAGGAGAAGAAGAAGAAAAUCCUGAGGUCUCUGAUGGUGAAAACCCAGCAACCCUAUGAGGAGGUGCUUAUGCUGAAGAAGCAGGAUAGCCAGCGCCUGCAGAGGUGCACAGUCUGGUUCAGAGAGGGGAUUCCUGCUGGCGUGGACCUUGCCUCGCUGGCCACCAUUGCAGGCCGUGACCCAUUAGCUUCUUCACAUGUCCCCUGCUCUACACUAGCUGCUUCCCUUUACCCUCUGGGCCAAGAUCAGAGUUAUGGGACAAGGCUCCGCCCUCUCCGACUAAUUGAGAAGAUGAAGAAGGAGAUACCCAUACUAACUGCGGAGGUGGGGAAAAUGUAUGCAGAAAUCUGCAAUCCCCGAGACGUCGUUUUUAAGGAUAUUCUACUGCAGAGACCCAAGUAUGUAGUCUAGGCUGCCAUGCUUGGCUGGGCAGGCCCGUUCCUAGGGAAGGCAGUCCGGGUAGAUGGCAAGAGCCUCGGCAUGGAGGGGAGGAACCCUGGGUGUGCCUCCACUCUGCCUCUAACCUAGACACAGCUUUCUCUGUCCAUCUCUGAUGUAGCUGACACAGAUGGUUGGUUCCAGGGAUAUGGGGGACAAGGAGGAUAUCUUUCCUGUUUGAAAGGCUUCUGUGCCCCAAGAAGAGAGUGUCUUUCCUUCCAAAAUUAACCUUCAGGGCCUGCUUUACCUGGGAUUAGACUCAAUUGUAGGGCCAGAUGGUAGUGGGAACAGGCUAGACCUCUUCUUGUGUGGUGGCUGAGCCCAGCAUUUGCAAAUUGCAUAACUUUCCCUUAUGUCUCCCGUCUCUUCCCAGGCCUCUCUCUUUUUUAAAAUAUUUAUUUUAUUUAUUUAUUAUGUAUACAAUAUUCUGUCUGUGUGUAUGCCUGCAGGCCGGAAGAGGGCACCAGACCUCUUUACAGAUGGUUGUGAGCCACCAUGUGGUUGCCGGGAAUUGAACUCAGGACCUUUGGAAAAGCAGGCAAUGCUCUUAACCACUGAGCCAUCUCUCCAGCCCCCUUCCCAGGCCUCUCUUUGUGUCCUACCCCUGCCUACCUCCUACUUGGUGUUUUGAGACUGAGUCUCACUUUGUAGCUUAGGUUGGUUUCGAAUAUGAUUCUCCUGCUCAAGCCUCCCAAAUGCUGGGGUUAUCAUAUGUUUAGAGAAUUUUUUUUUCUGGGAGGAGAUGUCAAGCAACAUCUGCCUCCUAAGGUUUCAAUAACAAACCAAAGUUUGAUUCUACCAUCGUUCCUUCUGAGAAACUGAUGAGUUUGUUGGGCUUAUUUACAGAGUCUGGGUCACAAGGGUCGCUGACAGGAGUGUGUGUGCUUCCAGCAUGGGUGAUGGCUUCCCUUAACUGUGAGGGUGGAAUCUCCCCCCACUUCUACUAUUCUUUCUCAGUCUAUAAAUUCUAGCCUCUCUCUGAGACCCUGAAGCCACAUGUCUGGUUAGGAGGAGCAGUUAGAAGCUCAGGUGCACCCCAGACAUGGCUGUUGAACUCAACAUUCCUGUGCGAGAACCACUCCCCUUCUGACCCACAAUCCCUCCUCCACCCCUCUCCCUUGCUGCUUGAACCAGGCAGAAAUUCCCAGUCCUUGCUGCCAAUAAAGCUGGGUUUGUGUUUG